rnacentral:rRNA from 1 species
AUGGUACCUAAUAUUCAAAACCAGCAUGUUUCAUUCCAGGGACAACAACAUUUCAGAACUGAAUUAGAGCCUCCAUAUAGAAACAUUAAUCUUACUUCAAUUAUCCUUGAUAAUGAUUAUGAUAUUUUCCAAGAUGAUGCAACCACUGUAGAUCAGAUGGAUACCACAGUAGCAGAUCCAAUACCUCAUGGUAAUGAAACUGUUCAGAAUGAGUCAAAGUUACAAGAAGAGGUUUAUGAGGAACCUACUCUGAUUGAUGCUAAGUUGAGACAGCAAGAUAUGAAGAAAUUCACUUGUGUUAGUCAGCUAUCUGACUGGUGGAAUUUAGUCGUGUCACCAAUUGCCCACACUUGUGUUACAACUGUAUCUAGACUAUUUGUCAAGAAGAAAUCAUUAGCUCCACCAAAUCAUGCACAUACAAUUAAAGAGAGUAUCUCAGAGAAGAAUAGUGAAGAUGAGAUUCCAACUCCUGCACAUACAAUUAAGCAAGUCGGAGACAAUCCAAGGAGAGAGAUACAAGAGGUUGAGUCAAAUUUAGAAGAGCUGAUACUUCAAUAUCCUGAGAAGAUCCCAUGUGUUGCUGAGCUGCAUGACUGGUGGAAGUCAUCAGUGUCACUGUUGAAACUUAGCAAUGAUGGUGAUGAGGAGAACAUUGCUCAGAAAGACAGCGAGGUAGUGAUCUCAGCACCCCUACCAGAUCAUGUUAGUGAAUAUUCACAGAUGGGGACACUUCAGACACAAUUAAGUGUUGCUGGUAGUAGCACCAUAGAAGAUCCAAAGGAAGAGAGACCUCAAAUUGAAGAUGUACUCGAAGCCAAGGCACAUGAUGAUCCAGAGCUCGAACAACCAAGUAAUCAAGUUGCAGACUCAUCAUCUACUACUCUUGAAGAAGCAAAGGAAGCUGCUGUAGAUGAACUUGAAGAACCAGAAAUUCAUUUGCCUAUUGUCACACAAGAGCGUGAUGUAGUAGGUUUAUGUAAUCCUCUUGAUGACAUGAGUCCAUAUGAAUUGUUUGCUACUACCUUGCAUUGCAUGAUGCCAUCUGUUAAAGUAGAUUUGAAAACGUAUUUGCUUGGAUAUGAUCAUAUAUACCUUGUUAGUGGCAUUACUCACAUUAGGGAUGAUCAUAGUUACUUUCAUCAUGCUAGACCUAUGCUUAAUGAAACAUAUCAUUCUCAUACUAGUCUUGAGCUUAAUGAUAAAUGCCAUCCUCAUGUUAGUGUUGACCUUGCUGAUUUCUAUCACCCUAAACAUGUGCUUUAUAGCUAUGCUUAUGUAAUUGGACACUCGAUUGAUGACUUCGAGGGUAUUAUCCCUACCACUCGCAUUGUCUCUUUUGUUGAGUGCCUUUUCAGGUUUUUGCUUCUGCACCGUUCACUUCAUGCUGACCAGGUUUGA